rnacentral:rRNA from 1 species
GACGUAGGUGGCAAGCGUUGUCCGGAAUUACUGGGCGUAAAGGGCGCGUAGGCGGACUUUUAAGUCAGGUGUGAAAUUUCCGGGCUCAACCCGGAGUGUGCAUUUGAAACUGAAAGUCUUGAGUGCAGGAGAGGGCAGCGGAAUUCCUAGUGUAGCGGUGAAAUGCGUAGAUAUUAGGAGGAACACCAGUGGCGAAGGCGGCUGCCUGGACUGUAACUGACGCUGAGGCGCGAAAGCGUGGGGAGCAAACAGGAUUAGAUACCCUGGUAGU